CCUUUGUCAAGUUCUGAAAAACUGUCUCUUACAGAAGGUACACCUCUUAGCAAAGAGGACAACACUAAAUAUAGGAGCUUAGUUGGUGCAUUACAGUACUUAACUUUGACACGACCUGAUAUCUCGUUUGCUGUCAACAAAGUAUGCCAGUUUCUUCAUGCACCCACCACUGUUCACUGGACUGCUGCUAAACGUAUAGUUCGAUAUGUCAAAAAUACUUUGAGCAUUGGUCUCAAUUUCAGCAAGUCACCAUCUACCUUGGUUAGUGCCUUCUCUGAUUCUGACUGGGCAGGCUGCCUGGAUGAUAGGCGUUCCACUGGUGGAUUUGCAGUGUUUUUUGGUCCCAACUUGAUCUCAUGGAGUGCAAGGAAACAGGCAACGGUGUCUAGAUCUAGUACAGAGGCAGAAUAUAAAGCAUUGGCAAAUGCAACAGCAGAAAUUAUAUGGGUUCAAUCUAUUCUGAAGGAACUUGGUGUGAAAAAUACCAAAGCUCCAUGUUUGUGGUGCGAUAAACUUGGUGCUACCUAUCUGUCUGCC
rnacentral:rRNA from 1 species